rnacentral:rRNA from 1 species
CGGAUAGAGCAAGUCUGGAGUGAAAUCUCGCCGCUCAACGGCGGGGCUGCUUUGGAUACUGCAUAUCUGGAGAUCGGUAGAGGCUGGUAGAAUUCCACGUGUAGCAGUGAAAUGCGUAGAGAUGUGGAGGAAUACCAAUGGCGAAGGCAGCCUCCUGGCCUAAUACUGACGCUCAUGCACGAAAGCGUGGGGAGCAAACAG